AUUAAAAAGAAAAAUACACUUUUAAAAAAUAUAGAAUAAAUUUUUGAAAUGCUAAUAAUAGUGCCCUUCUAUAAAAACCAAUUUCUUUUGUGUUUUGAUCUUCCAGAAAAGUUGUAAAGAAAUCUAACUAUUAUCUUAUUGUAUUAAAAGAAUAAUUAAUAGACACAAAAAGCGGUAGAUUAUGAUUAAUUACUACUGUAAUUUAGUAGUUGUGUGAUCAUUAAAUUAGAAAACUGUACAUAAUUAAUUGGAGAAUUUGAUUCCAGCCGAAAUCAAUAAUUAAUUACCUUCCCUCAUAAUGACGAUCCAACUUUUUCUAGAAAUAAAAAAAAAAGGAAAAAAAAAAUGUGUUGGUGGCAAGCAUCACCAGCGAACAACAACAAAAAUUAUAUGCAAAUAACCCAAUUCUUUGAUAGAAAAUCUAGUGAAAAAAAUUAAUUCAUAAACAAUUCCCAGAAGUAGCAGAUGAACCAAAACAAACUGAAGAACCAGACAAGUUCUGAGAAAUAAAUACAAUUAAUCAUGCAAGCUUUAUAACAAAGUAUAUGAAACUCUAGAUAAAACCCACUAAUGAAAAUGCCAUAUCAUAUAUAUAUAUAUAUAUAUAUAUGUAUAUAUAGAUACCUUUGGUGAUAGAUGGUUUCGGCUUUUGGACCACCUUGUGAUUCUCCGGCUGUUUGUUGAUGCUGUUGGAGUAGUCUAUGCCAAGGAGGUCAGAGAUGGUGUCAAGAUCUGACCAGAGGUCCUCCGCCGUCAGCUUCAGGGCGCGCUUGACGGCGAUGAAGUCGGAAAUGAUAGCACCACCACACAUGUUUAUAUUGCCACUUGU
rnacentral:lncRNA from 1 species